CAGUAGCCGCGGGAAUACGAAGGGUGCAAGCGUUAAUCGGAAUUACUGGGCGUAAAGCGUGCGUAGGCGGUGAGUUAAGUCUGCUGUGAAAUCCCCGGGCUCAACCUGGGAAUGGCAGUGGAUACUGGCUCGCUAGAGUGUGUCAGAGGAUGGUGGAAUUCCGAGUGUAGAGGUGAAAUUCGUAGAUAUUCGGAAGAACACCAGUGGCGAAGACGGCUCACUGGACGACUGUUGACGCUGAGGUACGAAAGCGUGGGGAGCAAACAGGAUUAGAUACCCCGGUAGUCCAUGUCUCUUAUAC
rnacentral:rRNA from 1 species